rnacentral:rRNA from 1 species
UACGAAGGGGGCUAGCGUUGUUCGGAUUUACUGGGCGUAAAGCGCGCGUAGGCGGGUUGCUAAGUCAGGGGUGAAAUGCCGAGGCUCAACCUCGGAACUGCCUUUGAUACUGGCAACCUGGAGUUCGGGAGAGGUGAGUGGAAUUCCGAGUGUAGAGGUGAAAUUCGUAGAUAUUCGGAGGAACACCAGAAGCGAAGGCGGCUCACUGGCCCGAUACUGACGCUGAGGCGCGAAAGCGUGGGGAGCAAACAGG